GUUGUUGCCGAGCUAGACACCCUAGAAGGAGAGUAAGAAGAAUCGUACAAAGAUAGCAUAAUACUUCGAUUAUCCAACUCCAACCUCACUUCACAGACACCAGAUAUGCAGUUUUCUGAAGAAACUUAUUCAUCGGGAAAUGUGGAUGAGGUUAGAGAUAUGUGGGUCGAGUAUUUGCUCAAGCAAGAAGCGGAUGAAGAAAACCAAGUUGAUGGUAUGAAAAUAACUCCAUGAGUUUCGGUUCCAAUUGUUGGUAAAUUGGCGUGAAUGAUUAUAUUUUUGAAUUGAUUUUUGUUUUACGUUUUUUGGAAAUUGCGAUGUAAAGCUUUGACGUUUAUGCAAAUUACAAUUUAUGUAAAGCUUGCGUUUUGAGCAUUA